UUUCCUAAAUUCCUCGUUUUCAGAUUCGCUGUUUUUCACAACGAUACUACUAUUGAGAUAACUCAACGUUAUCAAGGGGGUUCUGAAAAAGCUACUUAAGGGAACUUAGUCCCUUUAGUCCCUCCGGUUAUCUUUUCGUGUCACGCAAACACGAAACCUAAUCCUAACCAUAACCUCCUAACUGCUUACAUUUAGUGACUGCGUGACAUGAAAAUUUAACCAGAUGCUCUUUCACUUUGUGGGAC